rnacentral:rRNA from 1 species
AGAGUUUGAUCCUGGCUCAGAAUCAACGCUGGCGGCGUGCCUAACACAUGCAAGUCGCACGCGAAAGUGGAGCAAUCCAUGAGUAGAGUGGCAAACGGGUGAGUAACGCGUGGGCGACCUACCUUCGAGUGGGGGAUAACCUUCCGAAAGGAGGGCUAAUACCGCAUGACAUUCCGUGUUUGGAUACACGGGUAUCAAAGCCGGGGAUCGCAAGACCUGGCGCUUGGAGAGGGGCCCGCGUCCGAUUAGCUAGUUGGUGAGGUGACGGUUCACCAAGGCUUCGAUCGGUAUCCGGCCUGAGAGGGCGGACGGACACACUGGGACUGAGACACGGCCCAGACUCCUACGGGAGGCAGCAGUGGGGAAUUGUUCGCAAUGGGCGCAAGCCUGACGACGCAACGCCGCGUGGAGGAUGAAGACCUUCGGGUCGUAAACUCCUUUCGACCGGGAUGAAUUCUCAUCGACCGAACACGUCGAUGGGGUGACAGUACCGGGAGAAGAAGCCCCGGCUAACUCCGUGCCAGCAGCCGCGGUAAUACGGGGGGGGCAAGCGUUGUUCGGAAUUACUGGGCGUAAAGGGUUCGUAGGUGGCCCGCUAAGUCAGACGUGAAAUCCCUCAGCUCAACUGGGGAACUGCGUCUGAGACUGGCAGGCUUGAGUACAGGAGAGGAACGCGGAAUUCCAGGUGUAGCGGUGAAAUGCGUAGAUAUCUGGAGGAACACCGGUGGCGAAGGCGGCGUUCUGGACUGUUACUGACACUGAGGAACGAAAGCCAGGGGAGCAAACGGGAUUAGAUACCCCGGUAGUCCUGGCCCUAAACGAUGAAUGCUUGGUGUGGCGGGUAUCGAUCCCUGCCGUGCCGAAGUUAACGCGAUAAGCAUUCCGCCUGGGGAGUACGGUCGCAAGGCUGAAACUCAAAUGAAAUGACGGGGGCCCGCACAAGCGGUGGAGCAUGUGGUUUAAUUCGAAGCAACGCGAAGAACCUUACCUGGCCUUGACAUCUACAGAACUUUCCAGAGAUGGAUGGGUGCCUUCGGGAACUGUAAGACAGGUGCUGCAUGGCUGUCGUCAGCUCGUGUCGUGAGAUGUUGGGUUAAGUCCCGUAACGAGCGCAACCCUUGUCCUUAGUUACCAGCACGUUAUGGUGGGCACUCUAAGGAGACUGCCGGUGACAAACCGGAGGAAGGUGGGGAUGACGUCAAGUCAUCAUGGCCCUAUACGGCCAGGGCUACACACGUGCUACAAUGGUCGGUACAAAGGGUUGCCAAGCCGCGAGGUGGAGCUAAUCCCAUAAAACCGAUCGUAGUCCGGAUCGCAGUCUGCAACUCGACUGCGUGAAGUCGGAAUCGCUAGUAAUCGUGAAUCAGAAUGUCACGGUGAAUACGUUCCCGGGCCUUGUACACACCGCCCGUCACACCAUGGGAGUGGGUUGCACCAGAAGUAGCUAGUCUAACCUUCGGGGGGACGGUUACCACGGUGUGAUUCAUGACUGGGGUGAAGUCGUAACAAGGUAACCGU